CUGUGCACCUGUGAGGCAGAUGGGGAAAUUUAUUGAUUGUUUUUUAAGAACAAUCGGUGCUGGACCCUACUCUGUCUACUCAAUUCAUAUAAACUCAAUUUAUUUAAAAAUGAAUGUCAUGGAUGUAACACAUCUAAUACUAAGUUUCAACAACGGAUCUCUUGGCUCUCGCAUCGAUGAAGAACGCAGCGAAAUGCGAUAAGUAAUGUGAAUUGCAGAAUUCAUCGUGAAUCAUCGAAUCUUUGAACGCACCUUGCGUGCUCCUUGGUAUUCCUUGGAGCAUGCCUGUUUGAGUACUAGUUACGAUGUGUUACUCCCUGACUUCAUUUUUAAAUAAAAUGACGUUACUUUGCAAUGAGUAGACAGAGUAGGUCCAGCACCGAUUGCUUCUUAAAAAAAACCAAUCAAAUAAAUUUCCCCGAUCUGCCUCACAGGUGCACAGGUGUGUGUGGAUGAAAGGAGAGUCAAAGGUGGCCAAGGGAAAUGCAGAUGAACCGCUUCUAACGGUCCAUUGACUUGGACAAUUUCUUUUAUGAUUUGAUCUCAAAUCAGGUAGGACUACCCGCUGAACUUAAGCAUAUCAUAAACUUAAGCAUAUCAUAACCGGGAUUAGAAAAAUUCAAUAUGGAAUUUAAUGAAAGGGAAAUUGGUUUGUAUCUGGCUCAUUGUUCUGAGCAUGUGCACACCUUUUUCUCUUUCAUCCACACACACCUGUGCACCUGUGAGGCAGAUGGGG
rnacentral:rRNA from 1 species